UCUCUUCCGUAAUGCAAUCCAGCUUCUGUGCCAUCUCUACUGUCAUGUGGUUUGCCCAAUCUCCAACCUUUCCGGUCCUAAAAAGUAACGAAUUAUCCGUACCAAUGCGUUCAGUCACUCCCUGUGAAUUUACCGGUAGGCUCUUGAGGUGCUGGAAGCUACAGAGUCUCACCACCUCCUCCACAGCUCCGCGGCUCUCCUCCUCAUCGGUGAAUGGAACACCAAGAAACUCGGCGAGCAUCUUAACAUGCUUGGUUGGUUCAGCGGCCAUCUCAUCGUACUUCAGGAACAGAACCUUUUCAGGCUCUAUCUUGCUUUGCUUCCAGUACCCAAGAUAGUGCUCCCACACAGGCCCGUAAAAUGAGAAACCUUCACAGAACAACUCAAAGGACCUAUCAAACUCUAUAAGGAUGUCUGGGCGCACCGUCUUGAUGUGGUACCAGAAGGACACAAGCACAUCCUUGGGCUCCCGACACAGAUACACGACCCGGCUAAGGGUUGAUGUGCUUGAGGGCAAUAAGGUGAGUGGAAGGUGUGUGGAUAAGAGCCUUGGAGAUGGGAUCUCAUCUAGCUCUGUGACUGGGUGGAGGUCUCGGAAAGGAAUCUCUAGGUAUGGGACGAGAUCAUGAGGGUUGUGGGAGAGCAGCGGGUGAUCAUAGCUG
rnacentral:lncRNA from 1 species